GCGGGCGGGGCGGGGGCACGGGGGGACUCCUACGGGAGGCAGCAGUAGGGAAUCUUCCGCAAUGGGCGCAAGCCUGACGGAGCAACGCCGCGUGAGCGAAGAAGGCCUUCGGGUUGUAAAGCUCAGUCACUCGGGAAGAGCGGCAAGGGGAGUGGAAAGCCCCUUGAGAGACGGUACCGAGAGAGGAAGCCCCGGCUAACUACGUGCCAGCAGCCGCGGUAAUACGUAGGGGGCAAGCGUUGUCCGGAAUCACUGGGCGUAAAGCGUGCGUAGGCGGUUGCGUGUGUCCGGGGUGAAAGUCCAGGGCUCAACCCUGGGAAUGCCUUGGAAACUGCGUAACUUGAGUGCUGGAGAGGCAAGGGGAAUUCCGCGUGUAGCGGUGGAAUGCGUAGAUAUGCGGAGGAAUACCAGUGGCGAAG
rnacentral:rRNA from 1 species